UACGUAGGGACCUAGCGUUGUCCGGAAUCAUUGGGCGUAAAGGGUGCGUAGGUGGCGCUGUAAGUGGGGUGUGAAAUCCCGGGGCUUAACCCCGGGACUGCAUUCCAUACUGCGGUGCUUGAGGACUGGAGAGGAGACUGGAAUUUACGGUGUAGCAGUGAAAUGCGUAGAGAUCGUAAGGAAGACCAGUGGCGAAGGCGGGUCUCUGGACAGUUCCUGACACUGAGGCACGAAGGCCAGGGGAGCAAACGGG
rnacentral:rRNA from 1 species